CCUACGGGUGGCAGCAGUGGGGAAUAUUGCACAAUGGGGGAAACCCUGAUGCAGCGACGCCGCGUGAGUGAAGAAGUAAUUCGUUACGUAAAGCUCUAUCAGCAGGGAAGAAAAUGACGGUACCUGAGUACGAAGCCCCGGCUAACUACGUGCCAGCAGCCGCGGUAAUACGUAGGGGGCAAGCGUUAUCCGGAUUUACUGGGUGGAAAGGGAGCGUAGGCGGUGGGCCAAGUCUGGAGUGAAAUGCCGCAGCUUAACUGCGGAACUGCAUUGGAAACUGGAGAACUAGAGUGCGGGAGGGGGAAGCGGAAUGCCUGGUGUAGCGGUGAAAUGCGUAGAUAUUAGGAGGAACACCGGUGGCGAAGGCGGCUGACUGGACCGUAACUGACGUUGAGGCUCGAAAGCGUGGGGAGCAAACAGGAUUAGAUACCCUUGUAGUC
rnacentral:rRNA from 1 species